AACGAACGCUGGCGGCAGGCUUAACACAUGCAAGUCGAACGCCCCGCCAGGGGAGUGGCAGACGGGUGAGUAACGCGUGGGAACAUACCCUUUUCUACGGAAUAGCUCUGGGAAACUGGAAUUAAUACCGUAUACGCCCUACGGGGGAAAGAUUUAUCGGGGAAGGAUUGGCCCGCGUUGGAUUAGCUAGUUGGUGGGGUAAAGGCCUACCAAGGCGACGAUCCAUAGCUGGUCUGAGAGGAUGAUCAGCCACAUUGGGACUGAGGCACGGCCCCAACUCCUACGGAAGGCAGCAGAGGGGAAUAUUGGACAAGGGGCGCAAGCGUGAUCCAGCCAUGCCGGGUGAGUGAUGAAGGCCGUAGGGUUGUAAAGCUCUUUCACCGAUGAAGAUAAUGACGGUAGUCGGAGAAGAAGCCCCGGCUAACUUCGUG
rnacentral:rRNA from 1 species